UUCGAUUCUGGCUCAGAUUGAACGCUGGCGGGAUGCUUUACAUGCGAGUCGAACGGCAGCACGGACUUCGGUCUGGUGGCAGUGGCAACAGGGUGACCAAUGUAUGUCGGAACGUGCCUGGUAGCGCGGGGAUAACUACGUAGCAGCGUAGCUAAUACCGCAUACGCCCUUCGGAAAGCGGGGGACCUUCGGGCCUCGCACUAUUAAAGCAGCCGAUAUCGGAUUAGCUAGUUGGUGGGGUAACAGCUCACUACGGGCGACGAUCGUGGCUGGUUUGGGAGGACGACCAGCCCUGGGACGAGACACAGCCCAGACUCCUACGGGAGGCGGCAAUGAGUGAGAAUUUGGACAAUGGAGGAAACCCUGAUCCAGCCAUCCCGCGUGCGAUGAAGGCCUUCGGGUUGUAAGCACUUUUGGCAGGAAAAACAGCACGGGAUAAAAUACCCAUUGCAGCAAGCAGCAGUGACUAGAAUAGCGCAGAAGGCUUUAACUUCGUGCCAGCAGCCGCGGUAAUACGUGGGGUGCAAGCGUUAAUCGGAGUUACUGAGCGUAAAGCGUGCGCAGGCUGGUUCGGAAAGAAGAUGUAAUCCCAGAGCUUAACUUUGGAACUGCAUUUUUAACUACCGAGCUAAGUGUGUCCAGAGGAGUGGGAGUUCCGCGCGGUGUAGCAGUGAAAUGCGUAGAUAUGCGGAGGGAGCUUACCCCACACACAUUGGUAGCUGGUCGACGCUCAUGCACGACGUGCAGGAGCAAACAGGAUUAGAUACCCUGGUAGUCACUGAAACGUGAUGUCCAGCUGGCUGUUGAUUCGGGCCUUGGUAGCGCAGCAGCUAACGUAGUUGACCGCCUGGAGUGAGUCGCAGACCAAAACUCAAGGUGAGCGGGGACCCGCACCGUGAGUAAGAUGAUGUGGAUUAAUUCGAUGCAACGCGAAAACCUUACCUACCCAACAAACGUCUGAAUCCCAAAGAUUUGGGAGUGCUCGCAAAGAACCCGGAACACAGGUGCUGCAUGGCUGUCGUCAGCUCGUGUCAUUGAGAUGUUGGGUUAAGUCCGCAACGAGCGCAGCCGCGCCAUUAGUUGCUUACCGAAGGCACUCUAAUGAGGCUGCCGGUGACAAACCGGAAGGUGGGGAUAAUCAAGUCGUACUUGGGUAGGGCUUCACACGUCAUACAAUGGUCGGGACAGAGGAGGGUCGCCAGCUUGCGAGGAGCCAAUCCAAAGCGAUCGUAGUCGGAUCGCAGUCUGCAACUCGACUGCGUGAAGUCGGAAUCGCUAGUA
rnacentral:rRNA from 1 species